AGCCGGAUGGCGCAGUGGUUACCGCACCUGCCUAGUGAGCAGGAAACCUGGGUUCGAAUCCCGGUCCCGUUC